rnacentral:rRNA from 1 species
AUUGAACGCUGGCGGCAUGCUUUACACAUGCAAGUCGAACGGGCUGGGGGCAACUCCAGUCAGUGGCGAACGGGUGAGUAAUACAUCGGAACGUACCUCGUAGUGGGGGAUAACUCGGCGAAAGCCGUGCUAAUACCGCAUAUGCUCUACGGAGGAAAGCAGGGGACCGCAAGGCCUUGUGCUAUGGGAGCGGCCGAUGUCCGAUUAGCUAGUUGGUGAGGUAAGGCUCACCAAGGCGACGAUCGGUAGCUGGUCUGAGAGGAUGAUCAGCCACACUGGGACUGAGACACGGCCCAGACUCCUACGGGAGGCAGCAGUGGGGAAUUUUGGACAAUGGGGCAACCCUGAUCCAGCCAUGCCGCGUGCGGGAAGAAGG